UACGGAGGGGGCUAGCGUUGCUCGGAAUUACUGGGCGUAAAGCGCGCGUAGGCGGAUCUGCAAGUCGGGGGUGAAAUCCCGAGGCUCAACCUCGGAACUGCCUUCGAUACUGCGGGUCUCGAGUCCGGGAGAGGUGAGUGGAAUUCCUAGUGUAGAGGUGAAAUUCGUAGAUAUUAGGAAGAACACCAGUGGCGAAGGCGGCUCACUGGCCCGGUACUGACGCUGAGGCGCGAAAGCGUGGGGAGCAAACAGG
rnacentral:rRNA from 1 species